GGCUAAGGCCAUCGAAGACUUAAGGCGGGAGCUCAGGGCAGACUUGAGGACCAUAAAAGAUAAGUUUCAAGAGGUCACUGAGCUGAAAACAGAAAUACAGCAGGUUCUAAAACUAAACCAGGAUCUUCGCGCUGAGAAUGCCAAGCUAUCACACAGAAUUGAGGAACUGGAACAAUAUCAACGUUCAAAUAACAUUGAGAUAAAGGGCAUUCCACUUGAAGGCGAACCACUAGUCGUCGUGAAGCAAAUUGGUGAGCUGAUUAAGGAAGAGGUCUCGGAGGCUGAUAUCGACAUCUGCCACCGAGUGCCUACUGCUCGACAUGAUGAAGCAAAUAUAAUUGUUCGGUUUGUCCGCAGAACCAAGAGGAACGCCUUCCUUAGUAAAGCUAAAAAAAGCAGAAUGGAUACAACCACGCUGGGCUUUCAAUCGUCCUCAAAGGUGUUCGUAAACGAACACCUCACACGGUAUGGCAAACGACUUCUUGGUGCCGCAGUAGAAAGAAAAAAGGAACUGAGAUGGCGGUUCGUAUGGACGGCUGGCGGCAAAGUGUUCGUACGCAAGGACGAAAAUUCACCUGCUAUUCGAAUCGCCAGUAUGGAAGACAUUGAUAAGAUGACAACAACUUCAUCCGACCAAACACCAGAGAAAAGAGUGAUGCUGAUACAGACACACAAGUUUUUUUUGGCAGUGGAAUAUGUUAACUGGACAAACUGCUGCAAGCGUUGCAUAGCAACAUGCAUUGAAGCUGCUUUGUCAUGCGACUCUCACGCUACCUGCGUUGGAACCAGAUGGCUCACAUGAAAAGAUUCAGGUGUCUCAGCAGCAGCACACCCACCCGUUGUUGGUCACCUCCAUUUGAAAUUCAAAAGGAAGUUUCACACGAGUGUUCAUUUCGAAUCACCGAUAGCAAUACCUCACCUUGGCAUAGCCAACUACCUGUAAAAUACUUCACAUAACAUCAAUUUUCACAUUGCGUGGGAUUUACGCAAGUUUAUCUCAUAGUUUUCAUGUAGAGCCUUUUGGACCUUUAUGUGGGGGAUAAUAAAAUGGCUUUUCAAGUCUAGCUCCUCUGAAAUAUAUAUAAUUCGACACCUUGCAUGCUAAGCUGCAGCUUCUUAAGUCCCAAACUGGCAUCAAGAAAGCCAGGACUGUAAAAUGAUACUGGGCUGGACAAAUCAGUUUCCAAAGAUUUAUGUUACGUUCUUGACCUCCUUUCCAGAGUUCCUGUGAUAAGUUUGUGUGAAAAGACAUUCUCAAAGCUAACAUAUGUAGAGACCAGGCUGAGAAGCUUUAUGUCAAGAAUGGCUUAGCUGGCUGAUGGUGCCUUUGGUGGAGCAAUGAAUUGCAAUUUUUUUAUGAUGUUAUGAAGAUAAAUAACACCAUAGCAUGCAGACUUAUGCUGCAGAAAGAAAGCAAGAA